AACGUAGGAGACAAACGUUAUCCGGAGUUACUGGGCGUAAAGGGCGUGUAGGUGGUUUUGUAAGUCUGGCGUGAAAUUUUUCGGCUUAACCGGGAAAGGUCGUCGGAUACUGCAAGGCUAGAGGACGGUAGAGGCGUGUGGAAUUCCGGGUGUAGUGGUGAAAUGCGUAGAGAUCCGGAGGAACACCAGUGGCGAAGGCGGUUCUCUGGGCAUUACCUGACGCUGAGGAGCGAAAGUGUGGGGAGCGAACAGG
rnacentral:rRNA from 1 species